CAAAAGAACACCCAAAGCAUCACCGCUACUGAACCCUAGAAAAGAAGAUGUGGAAUUUUGGAAGUAAGGACAAUCAUUACUACCCAAAGAAUCAAUGGCAGAGCUGUUAGUUCCUUCCAUCAUUGAGGGUUGGGUAUUAGAGGUGGUUCUCCUCACAGGGGAUGUGAAUGUAAAUGAAAUAACCUCCAUGCCAUUUUUCCUGUUAUCUACAGCUGUGUGCAUGCUUCCAUCUACUGCAACAUUACAUUUUAUAGACCUCUCAUCUCGAUUACAUGACACAUUAUCAGAAACACUUCUGUCAAUUUGGAAAUCGCCAUUUACAGACUGUUUCGUCUGAGAUAUAUUAUUUGGUUUGUCCUUUUCAGAAGUUGUGACCACUGAACGCACCUUUCUGGACACAGUUUCAGGCUUUAAAACAACUUUCUUUACUGUCCUACUAACCCCAACAGAACCACUCAUGGACUGAGCUUUUCUGCCUGGCUGUUUAGAAAAUGAAUUCUUCGAAGUUGAACUCUCUUUACCAGAUACACAAUUUUGCUUCUGGUUAUUCUGCCUGAACACAUUGCUAGUCCUUUCUUCAGAAGUUCUCUUGGUCUUUUGUGUACUGGGCAGGCUUUUAAGUGACUGGUUAGACCGAAUCUCCUUCUGCUCCUUCUGCUUAAUGUUGUUAUUUCUUGAAGUUGAUCCCUCUCUUCUCUGAACAUUGGACUUUGCUUUUACUGAAAGUGAAACUGGUUUUCCCUUAUUCUUUAAACUGCCAGAAGCACCUUUUUCAGAAAACAUUGAAGUACUGCAUGAUGGCUUGCCUUCUGACCCUCUCUGACUACUGCCACUGUGCUGUCCUUUUGUAUUCUCGGCAGAGAACAAUUCAUUUGGUCUUUGAGGCCUAGAUGCUCUAUGAGCUGCUUCCAUUUUCUGUUUCAAACCCUGAAUUCUUAAUGGAAGUGAAGAUGUCCCAAUCGAUGGCACUUUACCAUUUAUACAUGCCUUAGGACUUGCCUCAAUUAU
rnacentral:misc_RNA from 1 species